GAUGAAGAACGUAGCGAAAUGCGAAAAGUAGUGUGAAUUGCAGAAUUCAGUGAAUCAUCGAAUCUUUGAACGCACAUUGCGCCCGCUGGUACUCCGGCGGGCACGCCUGUCCGAGCGUCAUUUCAACCCUCAAGCCCUCCUUCGGGAUGGGCCUGGUGUUGGGGCUCGGCCGCCAUCUCCGGCGGCCGUCCCCUAAAUACAGUGGCGGUCACGUCGCGACUCCUUUGCGUAGUAGAAACACCUCGCUCCGGAUAGCAACGCGGUCCACGCCGUAAAACCCCCAAUUUUCAAUGGUUGACCUCGGAUCAGGUGGGAAUACCCGCUGAACUUAGGCAUAUCAAUAAGCGGAGGA
rnacentral:misc_RNA from 1 species